rnacentral:rRNA from 1 species
AUUGAACGCUGGCGGCAGGCCUAACACAUGCAAGUCGAGCGAGCGGCGGACGGGUGAGUAUUGUCUGGGAAACUGCCUGAUGUAGGGGGGUAAAUACUGGAAACGGUAGCUAAUACCCCAUACCAUCAUAUGUGCCCAGAUGGGAUUGGCUAGUGGGUGGGGUAACGGCUCUCAUAGGCGACGAUCCCUAGCUGGGCUGAGAGGAUGACCAGCCACACUGGGACUGAGACACGGGCCAGACUCCUACGGGAGGCAGCAGUGGGGAAUAUUGCACAAUGGGCGAAAGCCUGAUGCAGCCAUGCCGCGUGUAUGAAGAAGGCCUUCGGGUUGUAAAGCACUGUCAGCGGGGAGGCGUUACCCGCAGAAGAAGCACCGGCUAACUCCGUGCCAGCAGCCGCGGUAAUAC